CUCAUAGGCAAGUCGUUGAGAAAACUCACACCGCAAGAAAUAGAUGUUGAGCGUUGAAGUAACUUCGUAACCCGUCAGGCAGUCUGGUAGAGAACCACAAAGGCGGGGAAAGAAACUUGAUUUAUGGAGUCACAUGUACAAAACGAUGCGUUUCAAUUGAAGCUCGGAUCCUCCUCCCCCAUGGCCACAGGUGGAAGUGUCAGCCGUGUAGAAAACAAUGUCAGAAUCCGGGAUUUUAGCAUUGCUGGGUUAGGGCAGAGUGCUGUCCCCUCGACUAACCAGCUUGAAAGCAAAGAGGUUCCUGCUCAAAACUUCUACCGUGUGAAAAAUGCGGGUGUUUUUUUUUUUGAAAGACAUGUUUGCAUCCAUUGGACGGCGCUCGAAUGUCUUCUUGCAAGCAGCUUGUUGCUUGAUUUUCUUGCCGGGAUUGUUGUAAAGACUUUGGCAGCAAGAAACCUUGGCCCAGGUCGUAGAAUAAAUCAUUGAGAGAUGGACCUCUGGAGCUCAAUUGCCCGCGAUCGGUGUAUGGGAAAGAUGAGCAGACCGACGCUCGAACUUCAACAGGCGGGCGGGCGAUUCUACAUUUCCUAUCUCUAGCGUCCGAGAAGGGGAAAUGGGGUCCUUCUGCUCGGGCGCUCGCGGGACCUGCAAAGCCUGGCGAUUGGCUGGGCAGCCGCCGCCGCAGCGCGUCAGAGGAGAAGAAGAAACUGCGGGCGGCCGGAACGCGGGCUCUUCUAGCCGGACGACAUGGAGGAGUUGGAUGUCGAGCCGUCGGUCACGCUGAUUCCAGGAGUGAACUCUGACCAGAAACAGUUAUGCUUUACAUGGGGACCCACAGAGAUGUUGGUGUGUGAAACAUUGUUUAGGC